ACGGGGAGCAGCAGGCGCGAAAACUUGUCAAUGGGGGAAACCCCGAACAGGGGAGUCCAAGUGCAUGCGUUUUACGUAUGCUGUUCAGUUGUCUAAAAAACAGCCGAAGUAAGGGCUGGGUAAGACAGGUGCCAGCCGCCGCGGUAAUACCUGCAGCCCAAGUGGUGACCAUUAUUAUUGAGCCUAAAGCGUCCGUAGCCGGUUUGGUAAAUCCUCGGGUAAAUCGAGCAGCUUAACUGUUCGAACACCGGGGAGACUGCCAGACUUGGGACCGGGAGAGGUCAGAGGUACUUCAGGGGUAGGGGCUAAAUCCUGUAAUCCUUGAAGGACCACCAGUGGCGAAGGCGUCUGACUAGAACGGAUCCGACGGUAAGGGACGAAACCCUGGGGCGCAAACCGGAUUAGAUACCCGGGUAGUCCAGGGCGUAAACGCUGCAGGCUUGGUGUUGGGGACCCUACGAGGGUGCUCAGUGCCGGAGUGAAGAUGUUAAGCCUGCCGCUUGGGGAGUACGUCCGCAAGGAUGAAACUUAAAGGAAUUGGCGGGGGAGCAC
rnacentral:rRNA from 1 species